rnacentral:rRNA from 1 species
CCCCUAGAUGUUCUGGGCCGCACGCGCGCUACACUGAACAGUUCAACAAGUCUUAACCUUGGCCGAUAGGUCUGGGUAAUCUUUGAACGCUGUUCGUGAUUGGGAUAGACCUUUGCAAUUAUGGGUCUUCAACGAGGAAUUCCUAGUAAACGCAAGUCAUCAGCUUGCAUUGAUUACGUCCCUGCCCUUUGUACACACCGCCCGUCGCACCUACCGGUUGAAUGGUCCGGUGAAAUCUCGGGACGGCGGCUUGGUCGCUUGCGUCCGACUGCUGAAACUUGAUUAAACCAUAUCAUUUAGAGGAAGGUGAAGUCGUANCA